GUGCCAGCUGCCGCGGUAAUACGGAGGAUCCAAGCGUUAUCCGGAUUCACUGGGUUUAAAGGGUGUGUAGGCGGGGUAUUAAGUCUGUGGUGAGAGCCUACAGCUUAACUGUAGAACUGCCAUUGAAACUGAUAUUCUUGAGUAUAAUUGAAGUAGGCGGAAUGUGUGGUGUAGCGGUGAAAUGCUUAGAGAUCACGCAGAACACCGAUUGCGAAGGCAGCUUGCUAAAUUAUAACUGACGCUGAGACACGAAAGCGUGGGGAUCAAACAGGAUUAGAUACCCUGGUAGUCCACGCCGUAAACGAUGAUAACUAGUUGUUGGCGAUACACAGUCAGCGACACAGCGAAAGCAUUAAGUUAUCCACCCGGAGAGUACGAUCGCAAGGUUGAAACUCAAAGGAAUUGACGGGGGGCCGCACAAGCGGAGGAACAUGUGGUUUAAUUCGAUGAUACGCGAGGAACCUUACCUGGGCUUGAAAGUUAGUGACGGAUGCCGAAAGGUGUCUUCCCAGCAAUGGGCACGAAACUAGGUGCUGCAUGGUUGUCGUCAGCUCGUGCCGUGAGGUGUCGGGUUAAGUCCCAUAACGAGCGCAACCCCUAUUACUAGUUGCCAGCGGAUAAUGCCGGGGACUCUAGUGAGACUGCCGGCGUAAGCCGUGAGGAAGGUGGGGAUGACGUCAAAUCAGCACGGCCCUUAUGUCCAGGGCUACACACGUGUUACAA
rnacentral:rRNA from 1 species